rnacentral:rRNA from 1 species
CCCUUAGAUGUUCUGGGCCGCACGCGUGCUACACUGAGUGGAUCAGCGGGUCAGGUUGCGCGAAAGUGUUUCCUAAUCUUUAAAUCCGCUCGUGAUGGGGAUUGACGGUUGCAAUUUUCCGUCAUGAACGAGGAAUACCUUGUAAGCGCGGGUCAUCAUCCCGCGCUGAAUAUGUCCCUGCCCUUUGUACACACCGCCCGUCGCUCCUACCGAUUGAGUGGUCCGGUGAGGCUUUGGGAUCUGGGCGGAAAGAGCGUUUCGCUGUUUCUGCCCGGAAAACUCAGUCGAACCUUAUCAUUUAGAGGAAGGAGAAGUCGUAACA